ACGUAAUAGAUACCCGGGUAGUCCACGCCCUAAACGAUGUCUACUAGUUGUUGGUGGAGUAAAAUCCAUGAGUAAACGCAGCUAAACGCGUGAAGUAGACCGCCUGGGGAGUACGGUCGCAAGAUUAAAACUCAAAGGAAUUGACGGGGGCCCGGCACAAGCGGUGGAUUAUGUGGAUUAAUUCGAUGCAACGCGAAAAACCUUAACCUGGCCUUGACAUGCCACUAACGAAGCAGAGAUGCAUUAGGUGCCCGUAAGGGAAAGUGGACACAGGUGCUGCAUGGCUGUCGUCAGCUCGUGUCGUGAGAUGUUGGGUUAAGUCCCGCAACGAGCGCAACCCUUGCCAUUAAUUGCCAUCAUUUAGUUGGG
rnacentral:rRNA from 1 species